GACGAACGCUGGCGGCGUGCCUAAUACAUGCAAGUAGAACGCACAGUUUAUACCGUAGCUUGCUACACCAUAAACUGUGAGUUGCGAACGGGUGAGUAACGCGUAGGUAACCUGCCUGGUAGCGGGGGAUAACUAUUGGAAACGAUAGCUAAUACCGCAUAAUAUUGAUUAUUGCAUGAUAAUUGAUUGAAAGAUGCUAUUGCAUCACUACCAGAUGGACCUGCGUUGUAUUAGCUAGUAGGUGAGGUAACGGCUCACCUAGGCGACGAUACAUAGCCGACCUGAGAGGGGGAUCGGCCACACUGGGACUGAGACACGGCCCAGACUCCUACGGGAGGCAGCAGUAGGGAAUCUUCGGCAAUGGACGAAAGUCUGACCGAGCAACGCCGCGUGAGUGAAGAAGGUUUUCGGAUCGUAAAGCUCUGUUGUAAGAGAAGAACGGGUGUGAGAGUGGAAAGUUCACACUGUGACGGUAUCUUACCAGAAAGGGACGGCUAACUACGUG
rnacentral:rRNA from 1 species